rnacentral:rRNA from 1 species
GAUGAACGCUGGCGGUGUGCCUAAUACAUGCAAGUCGAGCGAACAGACAGGGAGAUCUCUCCUUUGAGGUUGGCGGGUGGCGGGUGGGUAACGCGUAGGUCAGAUUCCUCUUAUUCUGGGGUGACUACGUGAAGACGGAGAUGCUACCGGAUCAUAUUACGUACCGCAUGAAUCGAUAGUUAAAGGUGGCUUUGGUAUCACUUAGAGCUGAAGCUGGGUCGUAUUAGCUAGUUGGUAAGGUAAAGGCCUACCAAGGAAACGUUCCGUAUCUGAGCUGAGAGGGUGAUCGGCCACACUGGAACUGAGACACGGUCCAGACUCAUACGGGAGGCAGCAGUAGGGAAUAUUCCGCAAUGGGCGCAAGCCUGACGGAGCAAUGCCGCGUGAGUGAAGAAGGCCUUCUGAUUGUAAACCCCUUUUAUUAGGGAAGAACAACCGCAGAAUUAAACCGGCCCGUUUUGACGGUACCCAAAGAGAAAGCCACGGCUAACUACGUG